ensembl:lncRNA GTF3C2-AS2 GTF3C2 antisense RNA 2
AGAGAGUCUGUACCUGCAACCCUGGCGGCGUCCGAGCCCAAGGCGGAGUCUGGGAGACAAAGAAGUCCUCGCCGCCGGCCGCUGGAGGAUUCUGCCAGUAGUGAAAGAUGGGGUCUCGUUAUGUUGACCAGGCUGGUCUUGAACACCUGACCUGAAGUGAUCCUCUUGCCUCAGCCUCCCAUAGUGCUGCGAUCACAGGUGUGCAUGCCUUCCUUAUUUCUCAUACUCAUCACCUCCUCUUCCCGCUUGGAACUGCCCACACUGGUGAUUUCCUUGUUAAGGAACUUGAUGGCGUUGUGCAUGCUCGCUGACAGGGGACGGCACUGAGUCAGGAAGCUAUAAUACAACAGCAAUACCUUAUAUCUGCGCAACUCUUCACAACUUACAAAGCCUUCACAU